AAUAUUGGACAAUGGGGGGAACGCUGACCCAGCCAUGCCGCGUGUGUGAAUAAGGUCUUCGGAUUGUAAAGCACUUUACGUUGGGAGGAAGGGUUGUAGGUUAAUACUCUGCAAUUUUGACGUUACCAACAGAAUAAGCACCGGCUAACUUCCUGCCAGCAGCCGCGGUAAUACGAAGGGUGCAAGCGUUAAUCGGAAUUACUGGGCGUAAAGCGCGCGUAGGUGGUUCGUUAAGUUGGAAGUGAAAGCCCCGGGCUUAACCUGGGAAUUGCUUUCAAAACUGACGAGCUAGAGUACGGUAGAGGGUAGUGGAAUUUCCUGUGUAGCGGUGAAAUGCGUAGAUAUAGGAAGGAACAUCAGUGGCGAAGGCGACUACCUGGACUGAUACUGACACUGAGGUGCGAAAGCGUGGGGAGCAAACAGG
rnacentral:rRNA from 1 species